GAUGAACGCUGGCGGCGUGCCUAAUACAUGCAAGUCGAGCGAAGCGGGGACGGGUGAGAAACACGUGGAUAACCUCCUAUAAGACUGGGAAAACUUCGGGACACCGGAGCUACACCGGAUCCUUAUAAUUGGCCCAGCGCUGCAUGAGCUAGUUGGAAAGGUAACGGCUUACCAAGGCACAGAUGCCUAGCCGACCUGGUAGGGUGAUCGGCCAAACUGGAACUGAUACACGGUCCAGAAUCCUACGAGAGGCAGCAGUAGGGAAUCUUCCGCAAUGGGCGAAAGCCUGACGGAGGAACGCCGCGUGAGUGAUGAAUGUCUUCGGAUCGUAAAACGCUGUUAUUAGGGAAGCGGUACCUAAUCAGAAAGCCACGGCUAACUACGUGCCAGCCGCCGCGGUAAUAC
rnacentral:rRNA from 1 species